rnacentral:rRNA from 1 species
AUGAAUUACCUAAUAUGGAACUGCCGGGGGGUGGGGAACCGCCGGACAGUUCGAGAUUUGUUGGCCCUUUCAAGGGUCAACCACCCCAAACCUGUCUUCCUCUGCGAGACGAGGCAACCUGCUGUGAAAGUCAAGAAAAUAAAGUGGGGACUUGGGCUCCAAGGUUUUGAAGGUGUGGAUCCAGAAGGGAGAGGUGGAGGCCUUGCGCUCUUU